rnacentral:rRNA from 1 species
CGCGGUAAUUCCAGCUCCAAUAGCGUAUAUUAAAGUUGUUGCAGUUAAAAAGCUCGUAGUUGAACCUUGGGUCUGGCUGGCCGGUCCGCCUCACCGCGAGUACUGGUCCGGCUGGACCUUUCCUUCUGGGGAACCUCAUGGCCUUCACUGGCUGUGGGGGGAACCAGGACUUUUACUGUGAAAAAAUUAGAGUGUUCAAAGCAGGCCUUUGCUCGAAUACAUUAGCAUGGAAUAAUAGAAUAGGACGUGCGGUUCUAUUUUGUUGGUUUCUAGGACCGCCGUAAUGAUUAAUAGGGAUAGUCGGGGGCGUCAGUAUUCAGCUGUCAGAGGUGAAAUUCUUGGAUUUGCUGAAGACUAACUACUGCGAAAGCAUUCGCCAAGGAUGUUUUCAUUAAUCAGGGAACGAAAGUUAGGGGAUCGAAGACGAUCAGAUACCGUCGUAGUCUUAACCAUAAACUAUGCCGACUAGGGAUCGGGCGGUGUUUCUAUGAUGACCCGCUCGGCACCUUACGAGAAAUCAAAGUUUUUGGGUUCUGGGGGGAGUAUGGUCGCAAGGCUGAAACUUAAAGAAAUUGACGGAAGGGCACCACAAGGCGUGGAGCCUGCGGCUUAAUUUGACUCAACACGGGGAAACUCACCAGGUCCAGACAAAAUAAGGAUUGACAGAUUGAGAGCUCUUUCUUGAUCUUUUGGAUGGUGGUGCAUGGCCGUUCUUAGUUGGUGGAGUGAUUUGUCUGCUUAAUUGCGAUAACGAACGAGACCUCGGCCCUUAAAUAGCCCGGUCCGCAUUUGCGGGCCGCUGGCUUCUUAGGGGGACUAUCGGCUCAAGCCGAUGGAAGUGCGCGGCAAUA